rnacentral:rRNA from 1 species
ACUGCUCAGUAACACGUGGAUAACCUGCCCUUGGGUCCGGCAUAACCCCGGGAAACUGGGGAUAAUUCCGGAUAACGCACAUAUGCUGGAAUGCUUUAUGCGUAAAAUGGAUUCGUCUGCCCAAGGAUGGGUCUGCGGCCUAUCAGGUAGUAGUGGGUGUAAUGUACCUACUAGCCAACAACGGGUACGGGUUGUGAGAGCAAGAGCCCGGAGAUGGAUUCUGAGACAUGAAUCCAGGCCCUACGGGGCGCAGCAGGCGCGAAAACUUUACAAUGCGGGAAACCGUGAUAAGGGGACACCGAGUGCCAGCAUCAUAUGCUGGCUGUCCGGGUGUGUAAAAUACACCUGUUAGCAAGGGCCGGGCAAGACCGGUGCCAGCCGCCGCGGUAACACCGGCGGCCCGAGUGGUGAUCGUGAUUAUUGGGUCUAAAGGGUCCGUAGCCGGUUUGGUCAGUCCUCCGGGAAAUCUGAUAGCUCAACUAUUAGGCUUUCGGGGGAUACUGCCAGACUUGGAACCGGGAGAGGUAAGAGGUACUACAGGGGUAGGAGUGAAAUCUUGUAAUCCCUGUGGGACCACCUGUGGCGAAGGCGUCUUACCAGAACGGGUUCGACGGUGAGGGACGAAAGCUGGGGGCACGAACCGGAUUAGAUACCCGGGUAGUCCCAGCCGUAAACGAUGCUCGCUAGGUGUCAGGCAUGGCGCGACCGUGUCUGGUGCCGCAGGGAAGCCGUGAAGCGAGCCACCUGGGAAGUACGGCCGCAAGGCUGAAACUUAAAGGAAUUGGCGGGGGAGCAC